CCGGCGACCGGCGGACGGGUGCGUAACGCGUAUGUAACCUACCUUUGACAGGGGGAUAACAUCGAGAAAUUGGUACUAAUACCCCAUAACAUCACCGGAGGCAUCUUCGGUGGUUGAAAACUCAGGUGGUCAGAGAUGGACAUGCGUUGUAUUAGCUAGUUGGUGAGGUAACGGCUCACCAAGGCGACGAUACAUAGGGGGACUGAGAGGAAGGCCCCCCACACUGGAACUGAGACACGGUCCAGACUCCUACGGAAGGCAGCAG
rnacentral:rRNA from 1 species